UACAGAGGUCUCAAGCGUUGUUCGGAUUCAUUGGGCGUAAAGGGUGCGUAGGCGGCGCGGUAAGUCGGGUGUGAAAUCCUGGAGCUCAACUCCAGAACUGCCUUUGAUACUGGAGAGCUUGAGUCCGGGAGAGGUGAGUGGAACUCCGAGUGUAGAGGUGAAAUUCGUAGAUAUUCGGAAGAACACCAGUGGCGAAGGCGGCUCACUGGCCCGGUACUGACGCUGAGGUGCGAAAGCGUGGGGAGCAAACAGG
rnacentral:rRNA from 1 species